GGGUUGUUAGCUGAGAUGAAUUAGCGCUAGCUUGAAAAGCUUGAGAGGUUGGAUUGUUACCAACACUUCCCA
rnacentral:tRNA from 1 species